CUUAUUAUUACUCGAUUUGCUUCAAACUUCAUCAGAAUAAUGUUAAAACACAGCUGAUAUAAAUCUGCAAGGGGGAUAUUGAUAUCUAAAAAAUUGUUGCCGUGGCAACAUGUCAAACUGGAAUACUUCUCAGGUGAUUUUGAGGCAUAUAACAUGCUUAGAAUUUCAUCAAACUCAGAACACAUAUCAGUAUUAGUGACAGCUAGACACUGGCAAAAGUUCAUAAGAGGGCGUGGAAUAGGCACUCUAUAGCGCCACCUUUUGUCAAAAGUGGGGGGGUUAGUUUUAGCUACAGACACCAAACUCAGUACAAAAAUUGUUCUUAUCAAGACGGACAACUUUCUAAUUCACAGUCAUCAGCUACGACCAACAGGAAGUCGGCUAUUUUGAUUUGAAUGUGGAUUAUUUUUUACAUUUAGCCGUGAAUUAAUGCAUACUGCUCAGAGGAGAGUAACACUAUACACACCAAACUUGGUCUACAUGUUGAAAAAACAUUGAGGAACUUAAAUUGUGAAUGGGUUUUGGAUAACUUGGAUGGUUUUGUCGUGGUGAUUUUUUUAAAUGACAAUAAAGAUGGAAUUAUUAAUUUUCCUGCAUUUUUAAAUUCCAAACACUUCAAAACCUUUUUUCAUACAGAAAAAAAAGUUAUUCUGAGUAAAUAUGCAUAGUUUCAUGACUUUACAACACUGUAUGGAUAACAGAAAAUUAAAAAACUGUCAGACAUCUCAUCUCACUCUGUCCCUCUGUUUGAGUGUGUGUGCUUAGACUUCCAUUGUCUGACAGAAAUAGCGCCCCUACAGGUUCAGUUACCGGACUAAAAAAGGGAGGAGACUGUCUUUUGGUUUCGAUUUUAAAUCGGUUAAAAUACAAAUAAAUACUUGGAUUUAAUUCACAGUGACAAGCUAAACCAACAUAUAUGAUUAUUAUCAGGUCAGGGCUCAUUAAUAAUUGAUGUGUGGUCAGUGAUACGUGAGAAACACGAGAGAUGAAUCACCGCUCUGAGCAGGAGCGUGUGGAAUGAUGAGCUCAGAAAAAACGAGUUUAUUCUUGUUUUAUAGCUAUUAAAAAUAAAGUAUUGCAGCGAUAUCACACAAUUCACCAAUUAGAGCACACCAAUAGCUAAAUUAAGAUGUUUUUGAACUGUUUGUGUGAAAAUGAAAUAUUUGCAGCUGCCUACUGAAAUCACUGCCUCCGAUCAGCGCGCACAGUGUCUCAGAGCUCAAAACAAACGAAUUUAUUCUUGUUUAAGAGCUUUUUAAAAUAAAUUAUUGCCAUAAAUGCACACAAUACAUCCAUUAUAACACAACACGAGCUAAAUGCAGGUGUUUGUGACCCGUUUAAGUGUGCAAGACUAUUUGAAAGCGCGACUGGCAGAAUAACAUAUAUCUCUCGAGCUGCAGGAUUCUGGCUUUCGUCGUACAAACGAACACAUCACGGACAAGAUUAUUUCAAAAUAGCUUGUCGAAUAUAAACGAAAACAGCCACGUGAACGUAAACCGUUGAGAAAUAUAUCUGAAGUGGAUCUACUGGAUUUGAAUAUUAAGUGACCGCGUAUACCAGCUGCUUCUGUCUUCAAUUUUAAUCUAUAUAAAAAAUGUAAUUCAUUCAUCUUGGCUGCGUUUUUAAUGUGUGUACGUAUUUAUUUAUUUAUUAUUUUGCUCUAACAAGAAUUAAUCUAUAUUUAAUUAAAUCAAUUAUAUUUUAUUUUACAUUUGAUUUGUCCAUUUCUGCAUCUAAACGCCUAAAAACAUAAAACAUGCUCUAUUAUACUAUUGUUAGCAAUUUCUUUAUCGUCCAAUUUAUCUGGUGUACACACUUUUAUUUUCAUAAUAAACUUGUUUGUUAGAUUAUACACAGUUACAGUGGUCUAUAAUAAAUAUUAACAGGUUUUAUUCAAGCUGUUUAGAAUGAUUGCAGUAGGCUAAAAAACAUUGGAAAACAAUAACUGUUGUACUUUUUUAUAUAUUUUGUAUAAUUUCAUAGUUUAUGCAUUAUAGUUAUAAAAACAAAUAAAUUUAGCCACUCACAUAGAAAUCUUAGGCCUUAUCCUUUUCUUACAGUUUUAGGAAUUUUAAAAAAUCGUAAAAAACCUUAUUUGUGCUGCAAAUAAUAAUUUCAAACUCAAAAAGUAAAUAGUCAGUUCAUGCUUUAUAAAGCCUUGUCCCAAUAUUAAUAGUCAGUAGUAAGCAGUUUAUAAAUACAGCUAUAAAUAGCUUGUUUUUGGUUUAUAAGCACAUUUAUUAAAAAGGAGAGUAAAGGAUCAGUUAUCUUCCUAUGAAAAAUAAAAAAAUAAAAAUAAACAAACAACAACACAGAUUGAUACAGAACUCUACAGAUUGAUACAGAAAUUCUAUUGUGGAUUUAUGAUAAAAUCAGCCUGUAAAUGAAUUCAUACUCCUCCAAGAAGACACAAGUAGUUCACACCAAACUUUUUUUUUAACAUGAAUCCAAUAUACUGAAGAUGUUAAAUUGCGAAUGGGUUUAGGAUACCUUAAAUAGUGUGGCCAUAGCGAUUUAUUAAAGUAACAUAAAAAAAUACAAUAGUUAUUUUACUAUAUCUUUAAAUUUUUUAAUUCCAAACUCUUCAUAAUUUUUUAUAUACGUAGAAGUCAUCAUUUGAAGGAACCACAGUAAGUUUCAAAGCUUUAUCAUUUUCAAGAGCCAGCAAAAAAUUAAAACUAUCAUAACUUAUAAAUGAAGCUUGCAAUUCUUAGUACCAAUAAUGGCCACCUGAUGGAGCUAUAGGAUCACUUUUAAAUAAUUAUUGUAGAAACAAGUAUGAUUUAAAUCAUUUAUAGAAAUCUUUCAAAGAAAAAUAAUAUGAAUUUUAUGUAUUUUACUGAUAAAAUGACCCUCACUUAAUUAGAAUAACAAGCUGAAGUAUUGUGAACUGUAUAUUAAGAAUAAUUCUUUAUAGGCUUUAUGGACAGAUACGUUUUGAGUGACUCUUGAAGGAUCAGCACCACAUCCUCUUUUACCACUGUUUAAAGAAUUUAUCUUACAGAACAGAUGCGAAUGAAUUUUGGAUAGCUUGAAUGGUUUUGUCGUGGUGAUUUUUUGAAAUAACAGUAAAAAAGUAACCAGUAAAUGUCUUUUAUUUUUUUAAAGUGCAGCUUCUGAACACUUCAAAAAAAUGUACACAUAGAAGACAAGUCAUUCUGAGGAAAUAUGCAUAGUUUCAUGACUAUACAACACUAUAUGGAUGAUAGAAAAUUAAAAAACUAUCAUAAAUCUGAUGUCACUCAGUCCCACUGUCACUGUGGGUAAUGUGUGUGUGUGUGUGUGUGUGUGUGUGUGUGUGUGUGUGUGUGUGUGUGUGUGUGUGUGUGUGUGUGUGUGUGUUAAGUGAAUUAGGUGUGAAACUAUCAGGGAGCAUUUAGUCUCCAGUGCCAACAUUUUACAGAACUGCCACUUUCCCGGAGUCUCAGAAUUACAAUGUGUCAGGUUCUGAGAAAUCUAAGAUUCCAAAAAAUGAUUUAAUUAGAAUACCAUGAAGUAUUGUGAAAUACUAUAUAUUAAGGCUUUAUAUAUAGGCUUCAUGAACAGAUUAGAGUGACUCGUGAAGGACCAGCACCACCUACUCUUGUCCGAUGGUUUGAGGAAUAUAUCUUCCAGAAUCCGGGAUUAAGAUUUAGGAGCUCAUUUUUAUUCCACCUCCUUUCCUGAAAGUCUGUCUUGCAGAAUUGACUAAAAAUUAAUCUUCACAUUAAUUCCUAAUUAUUUUGCAAUUCUUUUUGUCAGUUCUUCUUGACCUGUUUUUUUCUUCUUCUUUUCUGACCUCAUGACCCAGUCAGCAUUUUUUGUAUAAUGGUCAAGUCUUAACUUAUCCAUUUCUGUAUUGCAUUUGUGUUUGAUAUUUCUCAUGGGUAUUUCAUAAUUUUCGACUUUACAGUUUGAGUUAAAACUCUUUUUUAGCGCAUUCCAUCUGCAAAAGAAAACAUGCCUAAUAAUUCUACACACAUGAAUAUAAAGUGUUUUUCUCUUCCAGCUUUCCUGGACUAUUGUAUAGCACUUAUAAAUGAUUAAAUAAAAAUAAUGGUAGUUAUUAAGAUUGAUAUGGUUUGGAAUUGGUAAAAUGUUCUUGGAAAAAAAUCACAAUAAAACAAUGUUUUAAUGUUUAA